rnacentral:tRNA from 1 species
UGUCAAGGGAUGGGAAUCGAACCCACAGUGUUCCGCUUACCAGGCAGAUACCAUGUCCACUAGGCUACCCUGGAC